AUAUUGCGCAAUGGAGGAAACUCUGACGCAGCGACGCCGCGUGAGCGAUGAAGGUCUUCGGAUCGUCAAGCUCUGUCCUUGGGGAAGAAGAUCGAAAGAUUUGACGGUACCCGAGGAGGAAGCCCCGGCUAACUACGUGCCAGCAGCCGCGGUAAUACGUAGGGGGCAAGCGUUGUCCGGAAUUAUUGGGCGUAAAGGGUGCGUAGGCGGCUUUUUAAGUCAGAUGUGAAAGACCACGGCUUAACCGUGGGGUUGCAUUUGAAACUGUGUGGCUUGAGUUAAGGAGAGGAAAGUGGAAUUCCUGGUGUAGCGGUGAAAUGCGUAGAUAUCAGGAGGAAUACCAGUGGCGAAGGCGGCUUUCUGGUCUGUAACUGACGCUGAGGCGCGAAAGCGUGGGGAGCAAACA
rnacentral:rRNA from 1 species